UUGGGAAUCUUGGACAAUGGGCGAAAGCCUGAUCCAGCCAUGCCGCGUGAGUGAUGAAGGCCUUAGGGUUGUAAAGCUCUUUUGCCAGGGACGAUAAUGACUGUACCUGGAGAAUAAGCCCCGGCUAACUUCGUGCCAGCAGCCGCGGUAAUACGAAGGGGGCUAGCGUUGUUCGGAAUUACUGGGCGUAAAGCGUGCGCAGGCGGUUUCUCAAGUCAGGGGUGAAAGCCCGGAGCUCAACUCCGGAAUUGCCUUUGAAACUGUGAAGCUAGAGUGCGGGAGAGGUGAGUGGAAUUCCCAGUGUAGAGGUGAAAUUCGUAGAUAUUGGGAAGAACACCGGUGGCGAAGGCGGCUCACUGGCCCGUUUCUGACGCUCAUGCACGACAGCGUGGGGAUCAAACA
rnacentral:rRNA from 1 species